ensembl:lncRNA
UUUUCUUCACCAAACUUGCCUAAAAUAUCCUUUGAAAAUCACUAAGGCUGCCCAGAGUCUCCAUCCACAGUGAAGCCAAGUAAUGUCCCAAACUUAACUCUUUUUUUCUUUGUUUCUUUUUCAAAUGUACAAAAUGGUUUAUAAUGUAAAGGAACAACUAAGGACCGUCACACAGUAGAUGAAGCACACUUUAUAUAGGUUCAAUCAUACACAGGGACUCCAGGAGGAGUUCUGUAGAACACUGCAUUCUGGCUUCCUUUGUGAUACACAUCUCCUUUGAUGGGUGAUUCUUCUAAGACUAUGAAGUCCUGAAUGGCUAGCAGAGUUCACGAGGGAGUUGACCGUCAUGCAGUCUCAUAGGACACUGUGCUGCUGCUGUGUGUGCACGCAGGGGGUUGAAGGAACUAGCCAUGUGAGCCACAUGGGAGCAGGGCCCACCAUCACUGAGCUGUCUGGUGUACCAUACAUAGUCCAUUCCUGUAUCUGUCAACACACACACACACACACACACACACACACACACACACACACACACACACACCACACACUGCCUGUGCCAACCUUAAAGGGCUAAAAUUGCUAAAACAACCUCCUAUGUUGACUAUGACACAAAGAGUACAAAUAUUCUCCCAGCAUCCCUCUCUUUGCCCACAAGGUCUGCCCUCCACCUCUUGCCCAGCUAUUAGCUGUCAGCUCUGUAUUACAGCCAAUCAGAUACAAGUCUAGAUCACUUUAGGCAGGUGAGGAGGAGUGAAUAUUUACAAAAUAUGAGAGCGGUAAUGGGUCAUAGAAAUAAUACCACCAAGGUGCUGCCAGCAUUUAGCUCUGCCCAUGGUGGGGUUUUGUUUGUUUUUGAGACAAGGUCUCUGUAUCAAGCCCUGGCUGUUCUGGACCUCAGGCUGGCCUCAACCUCUGCCUGGGAUUAAAGGUGAGCAUCACCACACCUGGUCUCAUUCUUAUUCAGUUAACAUACAAGAUAAUGGCCUCACUUUGAUGCUUUCAUGUAUCUCACUUUUUCAAUUUUGUAAAAAAAUAAUUAUCAAUUCUGUUUUUAUAAAACGGGAUAAAUUCAGCCAAUCAACAUGACUUAGACCACGUGGAAAGGGACUUACCAAGCAUGUAAGAACACACAGGCAUUUCUCGUAAGCUUACGUAACUGACUCUGCUUUUCCACUGCACUGUUUUUAGAAGUUGCACAUAUCCAUUGGCAUCUUAUCUCUGUCACAGAACAAUGAGGGCAAAACAAACUCCCAAAGGACUUUCUGCUGUCCCUUCUUCCAAUCAGAGACCUGUGAAUGUGCAGGAAUCACACCAACCAUAAGUAAAUCAGCCUGGCAUCAACACAGUGCAAGGCUGCAAGUGACGUGGAGCAGUAAUGCUUUACUCUGAGAACCAUUACCUGCUAACUCCAGCACCUGGAGCCUGGUACUCUGCCUUAUUAGCCUAGGCUUUCCCACUGGUUUUUUCCAGCUUUUCCUCCAGCCAGAGUCCUGACCAAGCAUGUUCACUGCCUUCUCCUUUGGUGCUCACACUCAGAUUAAACCACCUUAAAAACCAAACUUCAAAAAGUUUCUCAUGGACUUUCAGGGCUUGAGGUGUGAGAGAGUACUCACUGGUCAAGUGAGUUCAGUGUGCACAAGGCCCUGGAACCCCCAGCAACACACACACCUUUUCCUUUAAGACACAAAUGAAACCACCGAUAGAAAAGUUCGAUCCCAAACAUUGCAUGAAACCAGGAUUAGUAACAAGAGGACUGGGAAUUCAAGAUCAUGCUCAGCAGUGCAGAGACUUCUCUUUCAGAAGACCAGCGUUCGUUUUCCAGCACCCCGUCACACGUGCCAGGUGAGCCCAUGUCCUCUUAGCUUCUGAGGACACACACACACACACACACACACACACACACACACGAAAAUAGAUAAACUUUUGAAAAAAAUUAUCCUCAACUACAGAGCAGGAGUACAGUGCCAGGGUUUUGUUUUGUGGUUUUAAGGGGAACAGAAUUGCAGAAGGGCAUUAUUUCGAAACGCUCUGAAAAGCCAGGUUAAAAAUCAAAUGAGAAUCAAAGUCAUCAAGAUGAAACUAAAAUGUUGAUCUGCUCUUACAGAUCAGAAUUAGAAUGGCAACAGCCAAAUCUCCCAAACUUGCCACUACUGGAUGAAAGUAGACUUGUCUUAAUCCUUACACAAGUUAAUCUUCCUGGGCGGCAGGGAGCUAACUGUAGGGAGCGGCUAAAGAUGGCUCCGACAUCCGGUGGUCGUUGGUGAUAAACACCUGCAAUGCGCAUGUGUUGACAUUUCUCAGUUAUCAGACUGGCGUGAUAUUCAUGCUAAUAAGGUAUUUCAUACUCCACCAUCCCCAGAGGACAACUUUACAGCCACA